CUGAUGCCUGCUGCCCAGGCGAGACAACCUGCGGCUCAGCCUCCCCGGCCCGCUGUCAUCUCCAGGUCCCCUGCAGAGAAGGAGACGGUGAGCGACACUGUCAAGACCAGAUCCAGAUCUGAAACAAACACCUGUAGGUGACCUACCUGGAAGAAAUCCUCCUCAGCAGACUGGAUCCCAGGCCUCCCUCCAGCCUGAUCAACCUGUCUAACCAACCAGAACUCUGAGAGGAACGCUGAGCAGAAAAUGUCUGCUGCACUGUGCCAGCUGGUUUGAGAGUCGUGGUGUCGGAGCGAGCAUCAGCGUUUCUUUGCCUAAACCGAGACCUCAAUCACUUCCUGUGCUACUUCUCAUUUCUCACUCUCUGCGCCUUCCUUGCAUCUCCCCACCCCAGUGUGACACUUGUGAUACUGUUAGAGAAAUCAGCAGCAAAAAGUGUCACAAGCUGUUUUUUUUAAGGUUUUGAAUGAACCUAUAUGCACACUAGCAGGCCUUUGAUGGCCUACAUAGAUAAGAGGAGUAUGAUGACUCAAAUGCACGAGUGUGUUGUCAGACGUUAUCAUUCAGUCUUAUACUUUUAUGGUAAUUUUUUGUCUUUUGCUGGAUGAAAGAUGGAAACAGCCCAUUGCAAUGCAAAGAAUAUUCACAAAAUGGUCUCAUGGCCUUUAAAAGUGGCAGUUUGUAGUGUUUUCUUAAUGCUGGUGGAAAUCUGGACGCUGCACCUGACAGAAUGAUUGUCCGCAUAAAUUUCCUUACUUAAAAGGACAGUUAACCCUUAAAAAAUAUGUGUUUUUCUCUUAUACCUGUAGUGCUGUUUAUCAGUCUAGGUUGUUUUGGUGUGAGUUGCAGUGUUGGAAAUAGAAAUGUCUUCCCUCUUUCCUAUAUAAUGGAAUGAGAUUAGCUUGAGGUGCUCAAAGCGCCAAUUAAAAAAACUCAAAAACAAUGUCUCUUUCCAGAAAUCAUGACCCAGUUACUCUAGAUAAUCCACAGACCUUGUUGUGAGCAGUUUUAUGUAGGAACUAUUUUCUUUCUACCAAACGACAUCUUCCAAACAUAUUACUGUGCAUCUACUGCUAGCUCACCUAGCACCAGUGAGCUAGCUAAUGCUACAUAAUGCCAUUAAUGUUUACAUCUCACGCUGUCACGAGCCUCUCAUCCAUGAGUAGAUCAAGAAAUCCUCUCACAAUGGUUCAUAUGGUAUCGAAGAAAUUAGUGCCCCAUGAAUGAUGUUGUCCUGUUAUGUAUUUAAUGUAAAGUUACAUAGAUUAAGUUUAGGAAAGGUUGUGUAGGCUAGGUUUAGGAAAAGAAAUAUGAUUGGGCGUCAUCACCUUACAUACUUAAGUUAAAGUUACAUAGGUUAGGUUUAGGAAAAGAAAUAUGGUUGGGCAUCAUCAUGUUACAUACUUAAGGUAAAGUUACGUAGGUUAGGUUUAGGCAUGUAGGUUAGGUUUAGGCAAUAACGUUACGUAGGCUAGGGUAAGACAAGUCAUGUAGGUUAGGUUUAGGUAAAGUUACGUAGGUGACAUUUAGGCAAGUUUUGUAGGUGAGGUUUAGGUAAAGUCACAUAAGUUUAGAAGAGUAAAGUUACGUAGGUUAGGUUUAGGUAAAAUUAUGUAGGUUAGGUUUAGGUAAAGUUAUGUAGGUUAGGUAAAGUUACGUAGAUUAUGUUUAGAAGAGUAUAGUUACGUAGGUUAGGUUUAGGAAAAGUUACGUGGGUUAGGUUUAGGUAAAGUUACGUAGGUUAGGUUAGGGUAAAGUUAUGUAGGUUAGGCUGAAAACAAACAAACAAACCUGAUAACAUACUUUAAAAUAACUCAAACAUCACUUGAUGUCACACGUGACACAAACACCAGUUUUCUGGGAUAAAAGUCCUGUGUUUGUUUGACCCAUCCACCACCCCAGCCUGCCCCCAGAUUUUUGUUCUUUAUAUUACUUCCUUCUUUACCCCCAUCAGCGCACUGGUCACAUGAUCGCAGCCUCUCGAUUUCGUGGGUUAUACAUGAAUUACUGGCUCAUAAUUACGUGAUUUACAUACAAAUAGUUCCUACAUGAAACUGCUCACAACAAGGUCUGUGGAUUUUCUGGAGUAACCAAGUCAUGAAUUCUGCAAAGAGACAUUGAUGUUGAGUUUUUUUAAAUUGUAUUUUUGGGGGCUUUGAGCACCACACGCUGAGUGCCAUCUAGUUCUAUCACAUUGGAGAGAAGGCAGACAUCUCUAUAGCUGAUAUCUCCAACACUCAGCAACUCACACUGAAU